AUUGAACGCUGGCGGCAGGCCUAACACAUGCAAGUCGAGCGAGCGGCGGACGGGUGAGUAAUGUCUGGGAAACUGCCUGAUGGAGGGGAUAACUACUGGAAACGGUAACUAAUACCGCAAACCAUCAGAUGUUCCCAGAGGGGAUUAGCUAGUAGGGGGGGUAACGGCUCACCUAGGCGACGAUCCCUAGCUGGUCUGAGAGGAUGACCAGCCACACUGGAACUGAGACACGGUCCAGACUCCUACGGGAGGCAGCAGUGGGGAAUAUUGCACAAUGGGCGCAAGCCUGAUGCAGCCAUGCCGCGUGUGUGAAGAAGGCCUUCGGGUUGUAAAGCACUUUCAGCGGGGAGGCGGUACCUGCAGAAUAAGCACCGGCUAACUACGUGCCAGCAGCCGCGGUAAUAC
rnacentral:rRNA from 1 species